AACUUGUACCUUCAUUGGACAGGAAUGCUGUACAUAUAUGCCUGCAUAGGAAUCCAACGUAACUGAUUUACUGUCCUGUGUGAAAACAGUCAGUAAUCAAAUGGUUUCCUUUGCUGAUGCUUCUACCUCUGACUUACUUCUCUCCUAGGUAAAUGGGGAAGCGUAGUUCUUAGUAUUCUUUUAUGUUUAGUGGGAAUCCUUUGUUCUUGCUGCUGCUCAUCUUUUUGCUAUGGAUUUGGAGUGCAAGCCACCAUGGAUGUCUGGCCCUAGGGUCUACAGGGAAGAAUGAUGGAUAAGAUUGUGGAGCCAUCAAUUUGUUGGGGGUGGAGUGUACGGCUGUUGUCAUAACUGAUGCCAUCUUGGGCUCAUCCAGUUCCUCCUGUCCUUCCACUGACCCUACCCAGGACUGUAGUACAUGGGAAAUCGCUUCUCUUUCAACAAGGGCUUGGUAGUAAAUAGAUAUUGGUUAAUGACCGUUAGGUCCAGGUGGCCUCUGUGCUCUGUUAGCCUCCAGUAAUGAAGACCUUCACUGACAUAUUCCUGGCAAACCAUGAAACUAGUUACUAAUUCAUAAAUCUUGACUUAGGAAUGUGCUUCCUGUUUCCAAGCAUCUACCCCCAUACCAUAAGUUAACUAUAAAAUUGUCCCAACGGCCCCUCGGCGGUGCAGAGAGCAGCUGCUGCAGAUGCCUCUGGAUUCUUGUCCACCUAAUCCUAUUCAGCAAGUAAAUUAUCCUGUAAUAAAUGGAUCCAUUGGUUAUAUGGAGCUGUCUGCCUCCUUUUUUGGUCUCAAGAAUUGGUCCAAGAAGUCCUGAAGCCACAUCUUUUAGAGUUUCUACAUGGGAGUGGUACCUCCGUGUCAUGCAGUUACUGUCAUUGGGACAAGGCCCCUGAGUUUCUUCUGCAAACCACCGAAUCUGGCUUCAGAUCUCCACCUCCGGAAGCUGGAAUCUGAUAAUUAUAGGAACAUUAAUUUUACUUUGGAAUGUAGACAAUAGAAGAGCCAUUCAGCUGGGAUACUUUUCCCUCAAGCACAGGCUCCGGAAGCGCAGGCUCAGUGACCAUGGCGCACGGGCCCAGUCGCUCCGUGGCAUGUGGAGUCUUCCCAGACCGGGGCGCGAACUCACGUCCACUGCAUCGGCAGGUGGACUCUCAACCACUGCGCCACCAGGGAAGCCCUAAACCCUACUUUUUUGAUUUGUAAAAAUGACAGUUCCACAUGGUUCAAUCUAAUAUUUAACACAAUUUUAAUUUGUCUUGUAAGGCCGCACCAAAUCUUAGAAUCAACCAAAAAUAAAUCAAGAUGUUGUU